rnacentral:lncRNA from 1 species
UGGCCGGCUGGCUGGGAGGAUAAGGUCAGCACUUUCCCCUCCGCCUGCUCUCACUCUCGCACACGCUCUCAGUCUCUACUCUCUGUUUUCUCCUCCUCGCAAGACUAAAAGAACAGAGAAGCAAGCUCUCUCCUUUCCCUCUCUCACUCCAUUGAUUUGAGCUUCAAGCAAGUGAGAGAGCUAGAUCUAGAGAUCGAUUUGAGGGCUCCAAGAAGAUCUCCUCCUUUUCCUCUCCAUUCCCAUGGUUGGUUUUCUUUGGUGAGAGGAGUUGAGGAAACCCUAGUGUUCAUGCAUUUGUGAUUCAUAUUUGUGGCACUAGGUUGUGAUUGCAAUUGUGGAUUUCUUAUUACUCUUCGUGAUUGCCGUCACCUAGACGGUUGUGGAUUUGUUGAUUGGUGAGGGGAUUUGGUGAUUGUGUCCGCCCCCAAUCAAGGUGAUAUUUGUGAGGGGUUCUUGGGCUUAUUCCCCGGCGGAGUGCCAAAAGCCACUCUAGUGGAUUGCUCGUGUCAUUGAGCUACCUCACUUGUGGGUAGGUUCUUGUGCCUCCCAUUUGUUGGGCUAGGUUUGUGAAACACCUAUUAGCCGCCGAACCACCAAGUGUUGGUCGACACAACAGGGACUAGCGUGCCGGCAAGCACGUGAAUCUCGGGAGAAAAAUAUUGGUGUCAAUAUUGUGAUUGGUAUUCUCCCGGUGAAUAUAUUGAUAUACAUUGUGAUUGGUUCAUCCUAUACACAUCGGUAUAAUUAUCUCUCGCCUCUUUACGUUCUUGCAAAUUAGUUGUAACUAGUAGUUCCUAGUUUUAGCUAGUUGUAACUAGUUGUAAAGGGUAGUGACAUAGCCUUUGCUUGUGCCUAGAGAUCAUAGCAACUAGAAUAAUUGGAUAGGUGGCUUGCAACCCUUGUAGAGCUAGAGCAAAAUUGCUUUACGCCUUUUAUUAUAUUAAUCCUUUGCUCUAGUGCCUUGUAGAAUUUUUAAAUAGGCUAUUCACCUCCUCUCUAGCCAUAUUAGGACCUUUCAGCAGUUAGUGGGGUAUACUGAGCCACCUCAGUACUCCUAGUGGGAGGUGGAUAUGAUAGGAAACUUGCAGUGGUUUGCUGUGCAGGGAGUUGUCCCUCCGCAUGAGGGUAGGCCUGCAUGGAUAGGGUGGACCUGCAACUCAGAUGGGCAGACCCCAUGGGAAGCAACUCAGGUUGCAUCCCAUGCUAUGCUGCUCAAUAUAUGUCAGAGGUUUGGUGAUGAGGUGACAGAAGCGCCAGCGGCCUCCAUUCCCCAUGCUGACCCAGCAGCGGCGGAGUGGAAGCAGGCUAAAGGUUGUGUGUUGGUCUGAGGUCAAGGACAGUGAGCUGAGAGCUCCAGUCCUGCUAUGAGCGCUAUGAUGGCUGUGCUCAAGCUGUUCAGUCAGUGAGAGGACACCUAUGUGCAAGUGAUGAGGGCUGUUCGCCAGGCUCAAGAGAUGCAACAGAAGGUUGAAAAGCAUGCUCGCAAGUUACGCAAGCAAGCUAGACACCUAGAGCGGGCCCAGAAGGACCGCAAUGACUGGGAGGACAUUGCGGAGUAUCGUAGGCAGCAGUGGGUGAAGGCCACUACAGUGAGAGAUCAUAAGCAGGUGCAGAUGAGUCAGUUGGCUAGGGAGAAGGAGACCGUGAGGGGGAUACUGCACUAUGUGUGUCUGAGAACAGGCGCCGAGCAUGGGAGAUGCACUGUGUUCACUCGGCGGAGCGGGAGAACUAUCUACAGGAUCAGAUUGAAGCUGGUCUUGUGGAGAUUCACCGCCUCAACAACUUGCUACAACCAAUUCCCCGUCCUACACCAGAGUACCCGGAGGUGGGACCUUAGGUGAUCGUAGCCGAUGAUGAUGGUAUGGAGGUAGAUGGACCGGCUGCGGCUGCACAACCCUUGCACGAGGACGUGGAGGACGAGGAGCUUGAGCCGGUUAGCGACGAGGAUGGACAGGCAAUCUUCGACGCUGACUCGGGUGACGAGCCUGGAGUGUAGUGGGUAGUUGGUAGCUGUCUUGUGAGGUUCUUUUGUAGUUUGACUUGUGGCAGUCGUGCCCUUGUAAUCAUGAUGUAAUCCUGAACCUUGAUCUAAGACUUGUGUCUGUGCUAUGGUGAUGUAAUAACUUUAUGGACCAGAUGUUGUAAUGACUCUAUCAUGUUCAAAUGGUUGUUAAUGAUAUUUCCCUUUGUUAUGCAUUUUCUGGAUAUAUGUGUCAUGUGCUGUGAUUGGUGAUGUUGUUUUGUGGAAUUGAAUUAUUGUGCCUUUUUUGUAAAGUUAUUCCCUCGGAUACUUUCACGCAUGAUUAUAAGUUCUUCUAUGGCAAAUCUUGGCAUCAUCCAUACUCACUGACUGUGUCUUUAUAGAUGUCUAGAGGCCCUCGAGGUGCGGGAAAUCAUGCGAACAUGGAUCCACCCCCUCCUCCACCACCACCGAAUUCAGCAGAGCUGAUGCAAGUGAUGGUGGAAAAUCAGAGGUUGCUAACAUAGACUAUCCGUCAGAUGGCAAAUCAGGGUGGUCGGGACAUACAACAUGGGCCAGCACCUAAUCAGUAUAGCAGUUUCAAAGAUUUCAUGGAUACCAAGCCCCCAUCUUUUAGAGAGGCUGAAGAACCCCUCCAGGCGGAAGAGUGGCUGAACACGGUGGAACAAAAGUUCCGCUUGCUUUGGCUGACUGAAGGUCUGAAGGCGGAAUAUGUAGCUCGUCAGUUGCAGGGUCCGGCUGGCAUCUAGUGGAAUCAGCAUAGAGAGGCUCUUCCAGAUAACACUGUGGUUGACUGGAAUCAAUUCUGUGAAGCUUUCAAGGGACAUUUCAUACCUCCUGCGGUCAUGGAGAUUAAGCAUACUGAGAUUAAGCAUACUGAGUUUAUGCAGUUAACUCAGGGCAACAAAACUCUAAAGGAGUAUUUGCAUGCUUUUAAUCAUCUGUCAAGGUAUGCCCCUGAGUUUCUGAGCACUGAAUCAAAGAAGAUUGCUAGCUUCAAAAGGGGUCUUGGCCCCAAGCUGUUAAAGACUAUGGGCUGCACUAAGUGUGCCACCUUCAAUGAGUUCAUCAGUGAUGCUCUUACCCAAGAGAAUUACAACAUUGUGUACUCUGUAACUAAGACUCGCAAGCCAGCUUUUGAGGUUGGGGCAUCUCAGUCCAAGGCUCCAGUGGCUGCUAAGCCCCAGUAUCGUUCUCCAACUCCUAAUAUGCGAUAUCGUCCUCCAGCAAAGAAGAAUCAAGCGAAGACAGGGUUCCACAAGGGGUACUCUAUUGCUCUUCCUAAGGGGGACACUGGGCCCAGCUAUUCCAAGACUCCGACUGCCAAUUGUCCGUGCUAGAACUGCAAUCAGACCGGGCAUUGGCAAAGCAACUGUCCUUACCCGCCGAAGAAGGGCAACCAAGGGAGCGUCCGUCACGGGCGUGUUCACUAUACUACAAUGGAAGCCAUUCCUGCUGGUGAGGUAGUUACGGUUGGUAAGUUUCUGGUUAACCAAUGUGAUGUACUUGUGCUUUUUGAUUCGGUAGCAUCGCAUUCCUUUGUGAGUUUAGAUUUUGUGUCUAAGCAUAAUCUCAAGGUAGUUACACUUGAUAAAGGUAGUUACUGCAUUAGUGCCGCUGAAAAUAAUAUUUCUACAAAUCAAGUGGUUUUGGGGGCAACUCUAGAAAUGGGAGACCGUCAGUUCCUUGCUGAUCUGGUUGUUUUGCUCGGUGUGGGUAUAGAUGUAAUUCUGUGAAUGAAGUGGAUGAGUGGUAACGGGGUUCUUGUCGACACCACUACUCGCGUGGUGAUGUUGAGAGAUCCUGACACUAAGGAGGCAUUCUUAGUGCAACUUCCUCAUGAUAUUCAUAUCUGUAGCACGAUGAAUGCAGUUACAUCUAGGGCCAUCGAGGAUAUUCCGGUGGUGCGUGAGUUUCUGGAUGUAUUCCCUGAUGAUUUGCCCAGGCUUCCUCUAGACCGGGAUGUGGAGCUCAAAAUUGAAUUGCUUCCAGGUACUGCUCCUAUCUCUAGAAGACCAUAUAGAAUGCCACCAAAUGAGCUAGGUGAGCUUAAGACCCAGUUGAAUGAAUUGUUGAAGAAGGGUCUUAUUCGUCCUAGUUCUUCUCCUUGGGGUUGUCUGGCUAUCUUUGUGAAGAAGAAAGAUCAAUCUUUGCGCAUGUGUGUGGACUAUCAUUCCCUAAAUGCGGUGACCAUCAAGAAUAAGUAUCCUCUUCCUCACAUUGAUAUCCUAUUUGAUCAGUUAUCUAAAGCGAAGGUAUUCUCUAAGAUUGAUUUGCGGUCUGGGUACCAUCAGAUCAAGAUCCGUCCUGAAGAUAUACCUAAGACAACUUUCUCGAUGAGGUAUGGGUUGUAUGAGUAUCUCGUCAUGUCCUUCGGUCUUACGAAUGCACCAGCACACUUCAUGUAUCUCAUGAAUUCGGUCUUCAUGCCUGAGUUGGACAAGUUUGUAGUGGUCUUCAUUGAUGAUAUCUUAGUAUAUUCCCGCAAUGAAGAAGAACAUGCAGAGCAUCUGCGUGUAGUGUUAACUCGUUUGCGUGAGCAUCAGCUAUAUGCUAAGUUUAGCAAAUGUGAGUUCUGGCUAAAGAAAGUACCUUUCUUGGGCCAUGUCUUAUAUAAAGAAGGUAUAUCAGUGGAUCCGGCCAAGGUGCAAGAAGUGCUGGAUUGGAAGGUCCCAACUUUGGUGCACGAGGUUCGGAGUUUUCUAGGUUUGGCUGGGUAUUAUCAUCGUUUCAUUCCGGAGUUCUCAAAAAUAUCCAAGCCUAUGACUCGCCUACUUUAGAAAGAUGAGAAGUUCAUGUGGACACCUGAAUGUGAAGAAGCAUUCCACAAGUUGAGGACAUUGCUGACAUCAACCCCUAUCCUAGCUCAACCAGAUAUUGAGAAGCCUUUCGAUGUCUUUUGUGAUGCAUCUGGUAUCGGUCUGGGCUGUGUGCUGAUGCAAGAAGGUCGUGUUAUCACUUAUGCCUCGCGCCAACUUCGAACACAUGAGGUCAGUUACCCUACUCAUAAUUUAGAAUUGGCUGUAGUUGUCCAUUCUUUGAAGAUCUGGAGGCACUAUUUGCUGGGUAAUCUAUGCAAUAUCUAUGCUGAUCAUAAGAGUCUCAAGUACAUAUUGACCCAACCUGAAUUGAAUAUGCGGCAGCGAAGGUGGCUUGAGUUAAUUAAAGAUUAUAAUCUUCAAGUGCACUAUCAUCCGGGCAAAGCAAACAUGGUUACAGAUGCCUUGAGUCAGAAAUCACACUGCCUUUCAGUUUAGAUUGAAGAUUCAUCGUUGUCACGCCUUAUCCACCCACUAGUGCUUCACCAGAUUGCUUUGGAAAGUUCUCUUCGCAAUCGAGUGAUCGAAUUGCAGCAAACUGAUGUUGGUAUCCACCAUAUAAAGCGAAAGAUGAAAGAAGAAGAAACCAAGCAUUUCAGGGUCGAUGAGAACGGAAUUCUAUGGUUCAAAGAUUGGCUUGUUGUACCAAAGAACCGUGAGCUCCGAAAUUAGAUCUUAUCUGAAGCUCAUUCGUCCAAGCUGUCUAUCUAUCCUGGUAGUAGCAAGAUGUAUCAGGAUCUAAAACCUCUAUUUUGGUGGACAAAGAUGAAAAAGGAGAUCGCUGCUUUUGUUGCUCAUUGCGGCAACAGUUGUUGUGUGAAGGUAGUUCACAUGAAAGCAGGUUUACUUCAACCCUUAUCCAUUCUUGGUUGGAAAUGGGAAGAAGUAAGUAUGGACUUUAUCUCCGGACUCCCAACUUCUGUUAAGGGUGAUGACUCUAUGUGGGCGAUUGUGGAUCGCUUGACCAAGGUCGCUCGCUUUAUUCCAGUUUGAACUGAGUAUCGUCCGCAUCAGUAUACGGAGUUGUACUUCGAGCACAUUAUCCAUCAGUAUGGUGUGCCCCAUACUAUCAUAUCAGAUCGUGGACCGUAGUUCACUGCCCAUUUUUGGGAGUAUCUUCACGAGCAGAUUGGUACUCACUUGGUUCAGAGUUCUGCAUAUCAUCCACAAACGGCCGGCCAAACUGAACGUGUUAACCAAAUCCUAGAAGACAUAUUGAGGGCAUGUGCUCUCUCUUCAAAAGGUUCUUGUGUAAAGUGGUUACCAUUAGCUGAGUUCUCUUAUAACAACAGUUACUAAGAGAGCAUCAAGAUGGCUCCUUUUGAAGCCCUGUAUGGCCGAAAGUGUCGAACCCCGUUGAAUUGGGUGGAACCCGGGGAACAAAGGUAUUACAACAUUGAUUUCGUGAAUGAAGCAGAGCAGUAAGUCCAUACAAUCUAGCAACACCUGGAGGCUGCUCAAGCUCGUUAGAAGAGUUAUGCCAACAAGAGAAGAAAACCAAAUGAAUUCGCAGUCGCAGAUCACAUGUAUCUCAAGGUAUCUUCGAUGAAGGGUGUACAAAGAUUCGGAGUCAAGCGAAAGCUUGCACCUCGUUAUGUGGGACCCUAUCGGUUUCUCGAGAGGAAAGGUAAAGUGGCUUACAAGGUUCAACUACCAGUUGAGCUACGAGCUAUUUUUCCUGUUUUUCACGUAUCUCAGUUGAAGAAAUGCCUUUGUGUUUCGGAAGAAAGAGUGGAGGUUCGCGAUGUCAAGUUGAAAUCAGACUUGGUGUAUGAAGAGAAGCCUGUAGCGGUCAUUGACCACAAGGAGCUGGUGACUCGUAAUCGUGUGGUUAAGUUCUACAAGGUGUUGUGGAGUAACCACGGGGAGGAAGGUGCUACUCAGAAAAUAGAGGACUAUUUAAAAGAAGUUUAUAAAACCUUCUUCAAAAAUCAGUAAGCUUUCAAAUCUCAGGAUGAGAUUUUUGUAAUGGGGGAGGGCUGUAACACCCCGGUGUUAUGGUUGCAUCCUUUCACAUGCAUGACAUGAGCAUAAUCAUCUUCAUAAGCAUACCGUGAUCAUCAUUCACCUUGGAGCAUGUUAUUUUAUGCAUAGAUGUUGUUUAACUUGCUUAUUUAUGCUCUCUAUGCUUGCGUUUGAGUAUGCCUUUCUCUUGUGUGUGUCCUAGGCCUUGGUAAGUAGUUCAUCUGUGCUUAACUCAACCUUUGGAACAAUGUUCAUGUUGAUCAUAUCCUCAAAUUAUGUCUCUAAGUCAUGAUCAUAUCCUCAAAUUAAGUCAUAAACCUCUUUUGAUUAGGUUUUUAAAAAGUGUUUCAUAAAAUGUUUGCAUGUCAAAACUUUCUACAGCAAAGUUGUAGCAAAUUUUAUAAGAAACAAAAGCUGUUUAUGUCCAUCUCAUGAAAAUGACCACAACUUGCUCAAAAAGGGCUCACAAGGCAAAUUUGGGGGCUGUUUCAACACUUAGAAUUUUUCAAAGUCAUCGUGGUGCCACCAGUUUGCCUGAAGGUUUUUGGAAGCUCUAUAUCUUUUCAUAAAUGCCGAAUUGGCCUUUGCUCUAGUUGACAAACUUGUAGAAAUCAGUUAGUACUCCAAGAUUGUCAACUACACCAUCUCCUAAUUCGCCACGGUUUGGAAGAUAAUCAGCACCAAAAUACCUCUGUCAGUCUCUGAACUAAGCUCUGAAUGGACACCGUCAUCGUCGACGUGGCCGACCGGCGGCAGCGUUUCAUCACCAUUUUGCACCCAUACGCCGUUCCUGGCCCCGCUCAUCAGUGCUGAGGACGUGCAUGACCUCCACGGCGUCGUCCUCGAGCGCUUCGACGCGUCCAUUCUCCUCCUCUCUCCCUUCUCUCAUAGAAACGCGGCGACCGCAGAGGAGCCAUUGUCGGGCUCACUCCGGCGAGCUCGAGCGUGCUUCACGGUGCACUGCCAUCCACCAAAGUUUGCCCACAACUGCGCCGUGUUCUGCUCUUCCAUCUCCACCACAUAACUCGCCGUGAAACCCUCCGAUGAGCCGACAUUUUCGUCUUCCCCCAAAUCGGGUCGCCGGAACAGUUUUCUUCGGCGAGCCCAUUGCUGAGCUCCUUGGAGCCCCUUUUCUUCUCCGGUUUGUCUCUCUGGGUAGCUUAGGGUCUUAGAUAGCUAGUGAGCCACCCCUAGAGCAUUCUACCACACUCACCGGUGAUGAAAACGGCAGCGCAGCGCCACCGUGCUCUGGCCGGAGCACCACCCACACGUGGCCAGGCUUGCCUAAGCCCUCUCCAGUCGAGCUCUCCACCUAGGAAGCUCCGCCGUGACUCACCGAAGCUGUAGGACCCUUUAGUUCACGCUCUACCAGCCCGAGAGCGCCGGUGUAACGUCGGACACCUCGGCCGAGCCGCCAUCGUCGACGGCGAGUCUUCUCCGGUGGCUCCGCCGCGGGGAAAGUAGGUCCUUCUGAUGCGCGUUGGUCUGGUAAACACUCCAGUGCCCUUGGUUUGGCCGGAGACCUCACCGUCGGCGAGAAAUCGCCGAUGGAAGCUUCCCCUGCGCAGAGGAAGAAGAACCUGACAUGCGGGUCCCGCUGUUAGUGACUCAACGUUUCCCUCCUAUCUUUUAUUCAAAAUCCAGAUUCUUUGCAAUCAUGCAAAAAUCAUAUCUUCUGUUGCUGUGCUCCAAAAAUUGUGAAACAAAUUUUGUGAUGAUCCAUGGGAUGGCUAGUUUUUUAAAAAAUAUAAGAUUUACCAUGUUUUCUGUGAAAAAUAAUUGUUAUGAAUUAAUUUUUUUAUUUCAAUGUAAAUUCAUAUCUCUUAAUAUACUGCUUCAAAUGCUGUGACAUUUUUAUGCUAUGCUUUGUGUGGUACUAGUAUGCUUUGGUAAUUAUUUCAUGAUUUUGAAAGACUGUAUCUCUAAUAAGUAAUUUAUGUUCAUAAUAUGGCUUAAAUCAUUGUGUAAAUCAUAAUAAAUGUUACAUGCUUAUGAUGGUGUUCUCCUUUGGUGUCAAGCUUGCUCAUGGUAGUAGUAGCAUGUAAAUAAUCUGAAAUCUGUUGUUUGACACUGUUUAACCCAUGUUUCUUAAUUUAUAAAAUAAGCACCUUGUUACAUGUUAAUUAAAUAUCUUAAGUUUGGUAUGUGCAUUUGCUCUGAAAAUUUUAUGGUGAUGCCUAGGUAUUUUGCUUGUGCUUCUGUAAUUUAUUGUAGAUUUGUCUGAGCAAUCUUGCUGGUAUGUCUUAAUUAUGCCCUUUUAUGGAGUUAAAUUAAUAAAAGUUUUAUAAUUAAGUGUGUGGUAGUUAAUAUGUGGUUUUCUGGUAAUCUUAUAUCAUGCUUGUUCUUCUGAGUCACUAGGUUAACACUAAAUAUGCUUUUACUAUGUUAACAAAUAAUUAAUUAAAGGCUAUAUAGCUCUUCUAUACAGCAAGGGAGUAAUCUGAUUAUUGAUUGAUGAUAACUUUGUUUUCUGGAAGACUUGCCUAUAUCAAAGAUGUUGUAAACUUUUUGUUCUAGUUUUAGUUAAAUUUUGGGGUCAUUUGGCCCAGUAGUUUAAAAGUUAUGGCUUUUCCAGGUUAAGUUCCAGAACUAGGUGCUCUCUAUUUUCUGGAACAGAAACUGGAACUUUGUUUAAGUUGACUUGUUUAACUUGUGAAUCUUGCUGUGAUGUCUGAGGAUGAAAUGUAUACAAUUUCAUAAGCUUUUCAGAAUAUCUUAGUUCAUGUCUAUUGGAUCUUGUAACACCCUAAAAAUUGUUUUCUGGGAAAUAGAGCUAAAAUGAUUUAAUUAUGAAUUUUUGGUGCUCAUGAAAAUAUAGGAAAAAUAAUAUUUUUCACUAAAUUAAAACUUAUCAUAGGAUGUAGAAACAUUUGUGUAUAUUCAUGCUGGUGCAUAUGAUUUUGAUAUGAGUGGUUUUACUAAGGUUCAAAAAUAAUUCAAAGUGAUUUUUAAAACAGUUUUGAAUAUAGCAAAUAAAUUAUUUUGUGGAGAAUAAAAUUCAUCUUAGGAUUUGAAACGUGAUUUUGCAUUCAUGCUGGAGCAUAUUUAUUUUUGUGCUGUUUUAUUUUAAUUGUUUUUGCUCAAAAGCUCUUUUGGAAAAAGAAUUGAAAAAGAAAACUAAAAAAAGAAAAGAAAAAGUGGAGAAGCCCGAAACCAGCCCGCAGACCACUGGUUCCCCUCGCAACGGCCCAAGCUGCGGCCCAGCCGGCCAACUGCGCGCGCGCCUCCCCUCCCUGGCUCCUUGGUGCUGACACCAUGGGCCCGCGUGUCAGCCUCCUCUCCCCCACCGACGACCGGGACCCAUCUGUCAGGGCCGUCUUCUUCUUCCUCCCCAAGGCGCCGGACUCAUACGGGAGGAUCGAAUCCUACCCGAUUCGCCCCGUGAUCUUUGGGCAUUUAGGAUCCGAUCGACUCCUUUUUAAGCAUCGUGGAACUUCCCCACCCUCUAUUUUUCGGAGUUUAGGCCGACUCGAGCCCUAGCCACCUUCUAUCUCUGUUCGGAUCUUGCCGAACUCGCCGCCGACGCGAUUCUCGCCCCCUGCUGCAUCAAGCUUACCAGCGAUAGCGUGCCAAGCUUCACAACUCCAGCACGAAGGUGUCGAGACCCUCCCCAUACUCCCUACCGCGCCAAAUCUUUCUCUCAUCGGCGCCGAACUCUUGCAGGAGAGCUCCGUCCGCCAAACUUCGCCGCGAGCCGUCCCUGCUCCUUCUCGGCGCGAGCUAAGGGCCUAGGUGGGUUCGCCUCCGUCUCCUAGACCUCCCGGUGUUUUCCUUUUGCUCCGAGGUGCCCUACAACGCGCAGGCGAGGAGCUCCGGCGAGGAGGAGCUAUCUCCAGCCAUGGCGCCGCCGCGAGCACCCCUAUCCCGCCCGGUCCGCCGCCUAGCUCCUCCCCGAUCUAUUUCCAACUGUUGGAUGAAGGAUCAACGGCACACAGAUGAAGAUACCCCUUCGGCCUGGCUAAAUUGCUAAAGAGUCCUUGCAUUCUUUCAUAAUCUAACCCGCAGUCCAAGGCGUAUCCACUGGUUUGCGCUUUUCAAUUAUGAAGGCGUAUUCCUGUCGGUUUGAGUCAGUUUACGUUUUCAGCUAUUUACAGUUUUGCCACUGAAAGUCUUUUGCUCAUAAAAUGGUCAUUUUAACUCUGUUUUUGUCCAUUCAAAUUUUCUUAGAUCCGUAUUCGCGAGCUCUACAUGUUAGAAGUUUUAGUUUACUGUUUUGAAACUUUUUAAUUCUGCAGUAACAUUUAAUUAAUUAUUUCCCUAUAGGAAAUCUUAGAAAAUUCAUAACUUCUACGUUUUAAUUCCGAUUUUCGUGAACUUUACGUUUGUAUGAUCGUAGCACUGCAUAGAAUAUUUUUAUAAACUUUUACCUUUGAUUUACCACUGUUUGGUGUAUUGUUCUAAUUAUAGUUUGUUUGCUUCGUGUAUGAUUGUCUAUAUUGGAUUGCGUGUUGUUGAUUGAUGAUCGAGUUUAGUCGGUGAGCUUUAUGUUGGUGAUCAAGGUAAAGCUUUUGACGACCAGC